rnacentral:rRNA from 1 species
UACGAAGGGGGCUAGCGUUGUUCGGAAUUACUGGGCGUAAAGCGCACGUAGGCGGGUUGUUAAGUCAGGGGUGAAAUCCUGGAGCUCAACUCCAGAACUGCCUUUGAUACUGGCAACCUAGAGACUGGAAGAGGUUAGUGGAAUUCCCAGUGUAGAGGUGAAAUUCGUAGAUAUUGGGAAGAACACCAGUGGCGAAGGCGGCUAACUGGUCCAGCACUGACGCUGAGGUGCGAGAGCGUGGGGAGCAAACAGG